rnacentral:rRNA from 1 species
AUUGAACGCUGGCGGCAGGCCUAACACAUGCAAGUCGAGCGAGUGGCGGACGUGUGAGUUAUGUCUGGGACACUGCCUGAUGGAGGGGGAUAACUACUGGAAACGGUAUCUAAUACCGUAUACUAUCGGAUGUGCCCAGAUUGGUUUCGCUUGUGGGUGGGGUAAAGGCUCACCUAGGACACGAUCCCUAGCUGGUCUGAGAGGAUGACCAGCCACACUGGAACUGAGACACGGUCCAGACUCCUACGGGAGGCAGCAGUGGGGAAUAUUGCACAAUGGGCGCAAGCCUGAUGCAGCCAUGCCGCGUGUAUGAAGAAGGCCUUCGGGUUGUAAAGUACUUUCAGUGGGGAGGCGUUACCAACAGAAGAAGCACCGGCUAACUUCGUGCCAGCAGCCGCGGUAAUUC